UCUUCCUCUUUGAUUCAUCCUUCAAGGUCAAGACCCAAGGAACAAAAUGCAUAGCACAUGGCCUGCCCAUCCACCAUGAGACCAACUGAAUGGAUGCUGUUCCACUUUUUAGACAAGGAAGCAGAGGCUCAAGUUGCACAUGGACCAGAGAGAAGAAGCAACAGGGCAAGAGAGGGAGAGACAGCAAACGAGAGUCUGAAGACUUUGAAGACACUUGGGAGAAUGAGGACAGAGUAGUGCCCAGAGCAUCCCAUGCCUUUGUCAUCCUUAGCUUUCUGUCACUGUGACAAGAUUCCUGAGGUCACUCGGUGAAAAGGAGGAAGAUGGGAUGUGGGUGAACGCUCAGUCAGUACUUACCUUGCAUCAUGAGGAUUGGAGUUCAAUUCCUGCGGUGAUACAUUGUGUACCAUAAUAAACUUGCCUGAGGAUCAGAGGACAGAGCCAGCCACUA